rnacentral:tRNA from 1 species
GCCCCCGUAGCUCAGUGGAUAGAGCACUGGCCUCCGGAGCCAGAAGCGUAGGUUCGAUUCCUACCGGGGGUACCA